UACGUAGGGUGCAAGCGUUGUCCGGAAUUAUUGGGCGUAAAGAGCUCGUAGGCGGUCUGUCGCGUCUGCUGUGAAAACUCGGGGCUUAACCCCGGGCCUGCAGUGGGUACGGGCAGACUAGAGGUAUGCAGGGGAGAACGGAAUUCCUGGUGUAGCGGUGAAAUGCGCAGAUAUCAGGAGGAACACCGGUGGCGAAGGCGGUUCUCUGGGCCGUAACUGACGCUGAGGAGCGAAAGCGUGGGGAGCGAACAGG
rnacentral:rRNA from 1 species